AAUGAACGCUGGCGGCAGGCCUAACACAUGCAAGUCGAACGGAUCCUUCGGGAUUAGUGGCGGACGGGUGAGUAACGCGUGGGAACAUACCCAAAGGUACGGAAUAGCCUCGGGAAACUGGGAGUAAUACCGUAUGUGCUCGAAAGAGGAAAGAUUUAUCGCCUUUGGAUUGGCCCGCGUUGGAUUAGGUAGUUGGUGGGGUAAUGGCCUACCAAGCCGACGAUCCAUAGCUGGUUUGAGAGGAUGAUCAGCCACACUGGGGCUGAGACACGGCCCAGACUCCUACGGGAGGCAGCAGUGGGGAAUCUUAGACAAUGGGGGAAACCCUGAUCUAGCCAUGCCGCGUGAUCGAUGAAGGCCUUAGGGUUGUAAAGAUCUUUCAGGUGGGAAGAUAAUGACUGUACCACCAGAAGAAGCCCCGGCUAACUCCGUGCCAGCCGCCGCGGUAAUAC
rnacentral:rRNA from 1 species